UAGCCUAGUGGUUAAGGCUAUGGAUCGCCAAUCCGGAGACGGUGGGUUCGAUUCCCGC
rfam:Aedes albopictus isolate Foshan contig35598, whole genome shotgun sequence.